GUCACACCUGUUCCCAUGCCGAACACAGAAGUUAAGCUCCUUAGCGCCGAUGGUAGUCGGACUUACGUUCCGCAAGAGUAGGACGUUGCCAGGC
rnacentral:rRNA from 4 species